AGUGAACGCUGGCGGUAGGCCUAACACAUGCAAGUCGAACGGCAGCACAGUAAGAGCUUGCUCUUACGGGUGGCGAGUGGCGGACGGGUGAGGAAUACAUCGGAAUCUACUUUUUCGUGGGGGAUAACGUAGGGAAACUUACGCUAAUACCGCAUACGACCUACGGGUGAAAGCAGGGGAUCUUCGGACCUUGCGCGAUUGAAUGAGCCGAUGUCGGAUUAGCGAGUUGGCGGGGUAAAGGCCCACCAAGGCGACGAUCCGUAGCUGGUCUGAGAGGAUGGUCAGCCACACUGGAACUGAGACACGGUCCAGACUCUUACGGGAGGCAGCAGUGGGGAAUAUUGGACAAUGGGCGCAAGCCUGAUCCAGCCAUACCGCGUGGGUGAAGAAGGCCUUCGGGUUGUAAAGCCCUUUUGUUGGGAAGGAAAAGCAGCAGGUUAAUACCCCGCUGUUCUGACGGUACCCAAAGAAUAAGCACCGGCUAACUUCGUG
rnacentral:rRNA from 1 species